GAUGAACGCUGGCGGCGUGCCUAAUACAUGCAAGUCGAGCGAACAGACGCGGAGCUUGCUCCUCUGACGUUAGCGGCGGACGUGUGAGUAACACGUGUAUAACCUACCUAUAAUACUGGGAUAACUUCGGGACACCGGAGCUUAUACCGGAUAAUAUAUUGAACCGCAUGGUUCAAUAGUGAAAGACGGUUUUGCUGUCACUUAUAGAUGGAUCCGCGCGGCAUUAGCUAGUUGGUAAGGUAACGGCUUAUCAAGGCAACGAUGCGUAGCCGACCUGAGAGGGUGGUAGGCGACACGGGAGGGGGGACAGGGACCAGGGGCCUACGGGAGGCAGCAGUAGGGAAUCUUCGGCAAUGGGCGGAAACCUGGCGGAGCAACGCCGAGUGAGUGAUAAAGAUCUUCGGAUCGUAAAAAUGUGUUAUGAGGGAAAAACAAAUGUGUAAGGAAAUAUGCACGUAUUGACGGUAACUGAUCAGAAAGCCACGGCUAACUACGUG
rnacentral:rRNA from 1 species